GUUCUCUCCCCACCCUACAGACUCACACCAUCUUCUCACUGCUCGGAGUGGACCACGCUUAUGUCACCAGUAUUGGCAGACUCAUUGGAAUUGUUACCCUAAAGGAGCUCCGGAAGGCUAUCGAGGGCUCUGUCACAGCACAGGGUGUGAAAGUCCGGCCACCCCUCGCCAGCUUCCGAGACAGUGCCACCAGCAGCAGCGACACUGAGACCACUGAGGUGCAUGCACUCUGGGGGCCUCGCUCCCACCACACCCUCCCCGGGGAGGGCAGCCCUUCUGAUAGCGAUGACAAGUGCCAGUGAACCCCUCAAUGGGCCGCCUAGCAUGGUGCUGGCCAUGGCUGCAGACCCAGAUCCUACAGCUCUCAUGUUCCUUCUGCUUUGGGAAAGCAGGAGGCACCUGCAGCUAGAGGCUGGAGCCCCAGCCCCACUUCCAGACCUGGGGUACCAGCUUCUCACAAUUCAUUCUACCUGGAAUCUGACCCACCUGCAGCAAGUUUUACAAGGACAGGAAGAUCGGCACUACCCUGGCAGGAUGGAGGCGGCUGUCACUUGAACACUGUUCCCCCUUUGAGGGGGAAAGGGGUAAAACUAAGAUGGGUUUAUACUGGAACCUCCAAUGACCAGAUGUAUAUAUAGAUUUGCAAAGAUUUUUAUAUUAAUUUAAUAAAACAAAUUCUUAAAUAGAACAAAA